rnacentral:rRNA from 1 species
UGCAAGUCGUGCGAGAAAGUAUCUUCGGAUAUGAGUAGAGCGGCGGACGGGUGAGUAACGCGUAGGAAUCUACCUAGUAGAAGGGGAUAGCCCGGGGAAACUCGGAUUAAUACCGUAUACCUCCUUAGGGAGAAAGAGGGCCUCUCUUGAAGCUCUCGCUAUUAGAUGAGCCUGCGUAAGAUUAGCUUGUUGGUAAGGUAAUGGCUUACCAAGGCUACGAUCUUUAGCUGGUCUGAGAGGACGAUCGGCCACAUUGGGACUGAGACACGGCCCAGACUCCUACGGGAGGCAGCAGUGGGGAAUAUUGGACAAUGGGCGCAAGCCUGAUCCAGCCAUACCGCGUGUGUGAAGAAGGCUCUAGGGUUGUAAAGCACUUUAAGCAGGGAGAAAAAGUUAUAAAUUAAUACUUUAUAACCGUGAUGUUACCUGCAGAAUAAGCACCGGCUAAUUCCGUGCCAGCAGCCGCGGUAAUACGGAAGGUGCAAGCGUUAAUCGGAAUUACUGGGCGUAAAGCGCGCGUAGGUGGUUUGUUAAGUUGGAUGUGAAAGCCCUGGGCUCAACCUAGGAACUGCAUCCAAAACUAACUCACUAGAGUACGAUAGAGGGAGGUAGAAUUCAUAGUGUAGCGGUGGAAUGCGUAGAUAUUAUGAAGAAUACCAGUGGCGAAGGCGGCCUCCUGGAUCAGUACUGACACUAAGGUGCGAAAGCGUGGGUAGCGAACAGGAUUAGAUACCCUGGUAGUCCACGCCGUAAACGAUGACAACUAGCUGUUGGAAGACAAUGUCUUUCAGUGGCGCAGCUAACGUUUUAAGUUGUCCGCCUGGGGAGUACGGCCGCAAGGCUAAAACUCAAAUGAAUUGACGGGGACCCGCACAAGCGGUGGAGCAUGUGGUUUAAUUCGAUGCAACGCGAAAAACCUUACCUACUCUUGACAUACUUGGAAGCUCUUGUGAUGAGAGUGUGCCUUUU